AGGAGGAACAGCCCCAGGGGCGGGGCCAGCUCUGGAGCCCUGGAUUCAGCUCCAGGCAGCCCCCUCCGGGGCUCUCCGUCUGCAGGGCCUGGAUGCUCCGCCGCGGG
rnacentral:pre_miRNA from 1 species